UACGUAGGGUGCAAGCGUUAAUCGGAAUUACUGGGCGUAAAGCGUGCGCAGGCGGUUGUGCAAGACAGAUGUGAAAUCCCCGGGCUUAACCUGGGAACUGCAUUUGUGACUGCACAGCUGGAGUGCGGCAGAGGGGGAUGGAAUUCCGCGUGUAGCAGUGUAAUGCGUAGAUAUGCGGAGGAACACCGAUGGCGAAGGCAAUCCCCUGGGCCUGCACUGACGCUCAUGCACGAAAGCGUGGGGAGCAAACAGG
rnacentral:rRNA from 1 species